AUGAGGAGCCGCAAGACCUUGUCUGACCCAGUGUCCUGGAGGGGUCAGGUGACCCUCAUGGGGAAGAUCUCUCUUGGGCUCACCCUGCACCUCUGGGACAUGUAUUUGCUGGAAGGGGAACAGGCGUUGAUGCCGAUAACAAGCAUUGCCUUUAAGGUUCAGAGGAGCCUCUAUGAAGAAACUAACAAGGAAGCAUGGGGACCUGCCACCCCCAGGGCCCUCAAGGGCACUGGAGGAGCCAGACCCAUUUGUGGGAGCCCCCACCCCUCCCUGAGAGCACCCACAGCCUCAGAGAGCAGCAGAGGCCCCUCACUCCUGCAGACCCCUCUAAGGGUGCCAGGACAACAAGCCUUGAGCCAGGGAGACAAGGGAAUUGGGUGUUCCUGA